GCAAAUUGUCGAUCGUGGAGACGAGAAUGAAGUUAAAUUUUAUGCCGUUAUUUUAAAGCACUGUUCGCACCAUCUGUCGAAGGGUUCUGAAGUUACCUGUCAGAAAUAUUGACUAUCACCGGCAUUCAACCUCGAUCGAUCUCUCGCGUUCGACCAGAGACAAGGUAUACAGAUUCGACUCAUCGUAUCGGAUUCGUCCGGUUAUUAUGGCGUAGAAUGUUAAGUGAUAUACCAUUUCCUACGAGGAUUUUCAUCAAUUAAAUGUAAUAUUAUCAAUCUGAAAUAUCUGUAUUCUUGUUAAUUAGCGUGAAGGAAGUGAUUCAUGCAAUUGUAGCUAUUCGGUCGCGCCUGCAUCAAAGAAUGCAGAUUCGUUUCAAACGAUACAUUAUCGGCGUCUCGUGCCGGCAUAAAUUUCGACGGGGAAACACACCGUAUAAUAGAACACAUUCACCAGUAUCGAGGUUAAACAUUUUCGAUCGCUGUCCUGUCAACAACAUCUCCACACUAUUCCAUCCAACAUCUACACAUCAGCAUAUCACAUAACACAGUCAUACCAUAUCUCAAAGUUUGUCACGCGAAAAUUAUUGG